rnacentral:rRNA from 1 species
GGCCUGUUGAUAAUGAUUUCAGGUCUAGCCUGCCCAGUGAAAAAAUUAAAUGGCCGCGGUAUAUUGACCGUGCAAAGGUAGCAUAAUCAUUAGUUUUUUAAUUGAAAGCUUGUAUGAAAGGCUUGAUGAGAAAAUUUCUGUCUCUGUAAAGAUUUGUUAGAAUUUUAUUUUUAAGUGAAAAAGCUUAAAUUUAUAUAGAAGACGAGAAGACCCUAUAGAGUUUUAUAUUUAGGUAACUUUAUUAUUUUUAGGUAUUAAAAAUUUUAUAGUUGGCAGGGUAUUUUAUUGGGGUGAUAGGAAAAUUAAAUUAACUUUUCUUUAUUGUUACAUUUGUUUAUGAAUUUAUGAUCCUAAGUGUUUAGAUUAUAAGAUUAAAUUACCUUAGGGAUAACAGCGUAAUUUUUUUUAGAGUUCUUAUCGAAGAAAAGGAUUGCGACCUCGAUGUUGGAUUAAAAUAUAUUGUUGGUGUAGAAGCUAAUAAAUUAGGUCUGUUCGACCUUUAAAAUUUUACAUGAUCUGAGUUUAAACCGGCGUGA